ACAUUGCUGGUUCAGUGGUAGAAUCCUGGUCUUCCAUACCUGAGACCUGUGUUGGAUUCAUGGCCAAUGCG
rnacentral:tRNA from 1 species